ACUGUUGCGAUGAAAAAGAAGAGUACAUAUAUUCACCAUUUAUAGAGAGUCUGCGGUCGGUGCGAGCAGUCAAUGGCAUAUAUGGAAUGGGCUUUGGAGCAGCUAACCGAACACUUUUGAAAGUAAGUAGGCUUAGACGGAGCAGUCUCCGAUAUCAACGUCUUGAGUGAUUUCCAUGUGAAAUAACAAGGGUGGUACCACGGUUCAUUCGUCCCUUUU
rfam:Bacillus pumilus SAFR-032, complete genome.